rfam:Trichobilharzia regenti genome assembly, scaffold: TRE_scaffold0000981
GUACUGUUGAAGAGUCCUGAACUAGUGGGACGAAACAGAUGUCCAGUAU